rnacentral:rRNA from 1 species
GAUGAACGCUGGCGGCGUGCCUAAUACAUGCAAGUCGAGCGAACAGACGAGGAGCUUGCUCCUCUGACGUUAGCGGGGGGGGCGCGAGUGACACGUGGAUAACCUACCUAUAAGACUGGGGUAAAUUCGGGAAACCGGAGCUAAUACCGGAUAAUAUAUUGAUCCGCAUGGUUCAAUAGCGAAAGACGGGUUUCCCGUCCCUUAUACGUGGAUCCGCACCGCAUUAGCUAGUUGGUUAGGUAACGGCUUACAAAAGCAACGCUCCGUAGCCGACCUGAGAGGGUGAUCGGCCACACUGGAACGGAGACACGGUCCAGACUCCUGCGGGAGGCAGCAGUAGGGAAUCUUCCGCAAUGGGCGAAAGCCUGACGGAGCAACGCCGCGUGAGUGAUGAAGGUCUUCGGAUCGUAAAGCUCUGUUAUUAGGGAAGAACAAAUGCGGAAGUAACUAUGCUCGUCUUGACGGUACCUAAGCAGAAAGCCACGGCUAACUACGUG